rnacentral:rRNA from 1 species
GACGAACGCUGGCGGCGUGCUUAACUCAUGCAAGUCGAACGGUAAGGCUCUUCGGGGUACACGAGUGGCGAACGGGUGAGUAACACGUGGGUGAUCUGCCCUGCACUUCGGGAUAAGCCUGGGAAACUGGGUCUAAUACCGGAUAGGACCACUGCAUGCAUGGGUGGUGGUGGAAAGCUUUUGCGGUGUGGGAUGGGCCCGCGGCCUAUCAGCUUGUUGGUGGGGGUAUGGCCUACCAAGGCGACGACGGGUAGCCGGCCUGAGAGGGUGACCGGCCACACUGGGACUGAGAUACGGCCCAGACUCCUACGGGAGGCAGCAGUGGGGAAUAUUGCACAAUGGGCGCAAGCCUGAUGCAGCGACGCCGCGUGAGGGAUGACGGCCUUCGGGUUGUAAACCUCUUUCAGCACCGACGAAGCGCAAGUGACGGUAGGUGCAGAAGAAGGACCGGCCAACUACGUGCCAGCAGCCGCCGUAA